AUGUCAUAACAAGCAGACCACCCAGCACCAAUUGAGCCACUGAAAAUAAACAUCAAGAUAAUUCAGUAGUAUAUAUGUAUAAUAAAUAUGAUCAUAAGACAAAGAUUUUCUUUCAGCAUCAUUUGAAUUACAUUAAUUAGGUUUGAAUAAUUCCCCAUAAAUUAUUUGCAGACCAGUAGAGCUGAAGUAUGUACCAUCCUAAAUAAUGUGGUUUAUAGCAUAUCCGCUGCCAUAUAAAACCAAUUUGAGAUCUAUUUGGAUAUGAGUAUGUAUAAGUAAUAAUGUUAAACAAGGGAGAAAAUAAUAUAAUGAAGAUAUCAGGAAAAAGUUAGGGAACUCAUUCAAUGAAGAAAUUGAAUAUACCCAAAUUUCUAUGUUUUAGGGAAACUGGAAAAAAAGAGAUUUUUUAAAAGAAAAAACUAAUUUUGAAAGGUUCAGAUAUUUCCCUGCUCCAGUCUGGAGUUCUUGCAAUAUAAGUUUAUUGACUCUUGUGCUGUUUUGAAUUUGUAUGAGGCCAUUCAUAUCAUUUAUGAAAUCUCAUAUAUUACUGUGAAGCACAUAAUGUGGUUAUGUAAAAUGUGGUUUAGUUGCCAAGGAAAAUAGAGAAGAAGAAAAAAAACUUUGGUGUCUUUCGGAGAUUUUAGUAUGCACUGAGCUUUAGAGGAUAAAUAUGAAGCCAAAUCCAACCUCAGUGCUUUGGGUUUGCCCUGAGGCCUAGAAAGAACUUUGUUCUUUAUGUACUCUGCCUACACUCAGAGAUAGAUGCCUAUAGAAUAUUGAGAAGCUAUAUGAAAAGAGAAAGUCAUCAACCACCGUCUUGUCCUACUUCAAAAACACAGACUGGUUAUUUUUGCUGUCAGUCUAUGAAAACUUUGAUUUUUUUCCUACCAGAAAGUAAAGAAAUCAAUAGAGAGUACAGUAUAAUGUGAAAUAAUGUACUGCUGGAUACAUCCUUUCUUAUGGAAAUGAUUUCAGUCAGUCUUCUUUCACAGCAAAUGCUGCAGACUUUACCCAAGACAAAACUAUCCUACUUUCAGGCUCUGUACAUUUACGUAAAAGGGAAGGUUGAAACGAUUUGAAAAGUCCAAAUGAUGGAGAGAGAUUAAGGCAUAUUCUGUGCCCCUUGCAUGAAAGAGCUUUAUAGGAGUGGCAGACAGGAAGGCAAAUCUGUCUGGAGGUAUUAUAUUAUCCAGAGGUAAAUUAGGUGUUAACUGGGUCAAACUGUGCACAGCUGUGCAGAAUUCAGAGCAGUGUGCCAGUGCAGCAGCCCAGCCAGCAGCUCCUUCUCUCACCCAUGGCAGGGAAUAGCAGCUCACAUGUGGAGCAUGAGAAAGGAGACCCUACACAAUUGUUUAGCCUGGAGAAGAGGAGACUCAGGGGACAUCUUACUGCUCUCUACAAUGACCCGAAAGGAGGUUGUAGCAAGGGUUAGGGUUGGCCUCUUCUCCCUGGUGACAACGAUAGGACAAGAGGCAAUUGCCUCAGGUUGCACAAGGGGAGAUUCAAGUUGGAUUUUCUCUUUUCAGAAAGAGUGGUGAGGCAUUGGAGCGGGCUGCUUAGGGAGGUGGUGGAAUCAUUGUGCCUGGAGGUGUUCAAGAAACAUGGAGAUGUGGUACUUAGGGACAUGGUUUAGUGGGCAAUACUGGUGGUAGGUGGAUAGUUGGACUUGAUGAUCUUAGAGGUCUUUUGCUAUCUUAAUGAUUAUAUGAUUCUGGGAAAGACUUUUCAUGAGCAGCCCCCUUGGAAAUGGAGACAAUGGAGUGGAAAACCAAUUUCCAAUGCAAAUAAAUAAAACACUCUUCAAAGCUGAAGAACUGAGUGAGAAAGAAACUAUCCAUAGGAACACUAAUAAUUACUGAUGCUGCUCCUAAAAGCAGAGCUAGGACAGUAAUUCAAUCCACAGCUUAAACAUGAACAGUUCACAUAAAGAUGAAUAGGGAACAACUUUCCUCCUUUCAUCAAGAUAGCAUAUGCUUCAUCAAUACUUAUAAGACAAAGUGUUAUGCUCAGGGGUUUACUGAAGUGGAAAUAACUAUUUUUCUACUUUUAUUACAUCCACAUUCUCCAUUUUUUUUAGACAGACUUGUUGGAAUACAGCUCAUUGGGAGGCACUGACCUUCCCAAAGAUUGCCUCCCAUUAGCUCUUCUUAACAUGCCACAAUAGAGCAUAUUUUAAAGAGCAUCCACAUCAUGAGCAGCGCAUGCCAAUUCAGAAGAGCACAAUCUGCAGCACUGGUGAGGCCAAAAACAGAAUCAAUGGAAGUGAUGCAAAGUCCUUAGCUAAGUUCAAAAUGCUCCACUGGGACUGGUUAUUGAACUCAGCUCUGCUGUUAGAACCUAAGAGUAAUCUAAACACAGAAAAUCUUUUGUAAUGCAACGUUAUCAAACCAAAGUGGAUUUAUGAUUGCUUUGGAGAAGCCAUGUUAUGAAGGGGGAAAAAAAAAAAAAAAAAAAAAAAAAAAAGAUGAGGGAGACUCAAUUAACUGUAAUGCCUUUUCUUAUCACAAGACAGUAAUCUUUUCCCAUGACAGGAAAGAAUGCUUAGGAAAAUAAAACAUGAAGAACAGUUUAGGGCCAAGUCAAAGGAUGAAAAAUCUGUUUGCAAGUCAUAUAAUUACUCUUUUGAAGUUAUCAUUAAGUUCAGUAGUGUGAAUUAAAUAGAGAAAGAGGGAUACUCUUUAAAUGAUUAAUUAUAUCUGAUAUAGACAACCAAGUAUCUGUAGCAAAUGAUUUAUCAAAUUUCUAGUGUAUUGAAGAUAGACUGAAAGCAAAACCCAUAGCCUUAUUCACAAACACUAUGCUGCAAUAUUGGAGAGAUGGGUCCAUCUGAUUAAUGCUGGUUAACUAAAGACAAAUCUCAACAUACAUAAAAGUUUGUUUUCUUUUGCCUAGCAUUUUGAAAGAGUAACAAUACUGCACUCUGAAUAAUUUUGAUUCUACCCUGAGAAUAAAAAUGAACUUGAUAAACUUAGCUCUCUAAGCAUGGAUAACCAAAGCCCUACUCCUUUAUUCGUGUGCUAGCAGAGCUGACCAUUAAAAAUACUCAGCUCCAUAGCUCAUCUCAUAAAUCAACAGAAGGAAGAGUUGUCCACUAUUCCUGGAAGUAAGUUUCAUUUAGGGGAUUUAGGUAAACAUUUUCGGAUCUGCUUUGGCACCCAAGUCAUAGAAUCAUAGAAUCAUAGAAUCAUAGAAUGGCCUGGUUUGGAAGGGACCACAAUGAUCAUCGAGUUUCAACCCCCUUGCUAUGUGCAGGGUCACCAACCACCACACCAGGCUGUUCAGAGCCACAUCCAGCCUGGCCUUGAACGCCUCCAGGGAUGGGGCAUCCACAGCCUCCUUGGGCAACGUAUUCCAAUGCGUCACCACACUCUGUGAGAAAAAACUUCCUCCUAAUAUCUAACCUAAAAUCCAGACACUCAGGCUUUAUCUGCGACUGAGAGCAUUAUUAUCACAUGCAAGGUAAUUAAUCUUGUAUCCCAACAAACCUAACCCAUACAUUUACCUCAUUGGAGACAAGGACCCUUCUUUUUGCAUCUCUGACACAGGAUGAACACUUGAUGCAACAGCACCAAUGUAGAUUCCCCCUUCUCUAUUCUCAGCAGGCUCUUUGCUAGUUUGUCCCUUCUGUUCUGCUCCAGGCACUGAGCAAUUUUGUUUAUGGCUACAGCAGUCCCUGGCUGUCUUGCUUUACACUAGUAAGUGCCUUGUCUGGUUUAUAUAUAUUUUCAGUGCUCCUAAACAACUUGAUGAAGGACAGAUAGCAAAAUAAAGAGGCCAGACCACCAGUCACUGUAAAUUGGAUAGCUCUGUGGAUUCAAGUGAAUUGAAACCAAACUGUACUGAUUCACAAAAUAUGUUUUUUUGUGCUGUGACAUUGUUCUUUGAAUUUCAGUUGUGGCUGCACAGAUUCUUUAUUUUCUGGUUGUCUAUUUAAAAAAGCAGACAUUUCUGUUUGCUGUGCAUAUUCAUUUCAGUACAUAUUUGAAGCCAAAGAGAUCAUCUGGAUCCACAAAUAAAAUGCUUGCAGUCAUUCAUACCCACUCACAAAUACUAUUAGGGUGACCAGAGAUGGAGCCUAAAAUUUAGCUGUCAGAUUUUGUUAAUGGGUUCAUAAAGUAAAAAUUAUAGGCUGACAGCAUCCUCUGUUGGGAAACGUGCCAUUAAGAUAUUCUGAGGUCUCUUAAAAAUUCAGCGAGUGAGAAAAGUGCUGUUAAUACAGUUGGGUGCUUUAGGAUAGCUAUACUUCUUCUAAUUUCCAAACACUAUACAUUACUCUUGAAGUGUGAAUGCAUAUAUUAAUAUCCUGUCUCCCAAGAAGAUGAGUAAAAAUUUUUGGAGCAAAAUAGUAGUUAGACAUAGGCACCAUUUUACAUAGAGAUCUUAUUGAUUCUUCAUCACAAGUAGCCUUGACACAAAGCUUGAUGUCUUCUGGCCCAGGUUAUGGACCUGGUAGGGAAUAUCUUGCAAGUCAUAGAGGUAACGCUAUGCAAAAGGUCACUGAAAUCUUUCCUAAACCAUAAUGCACAGCAAAACAAGGAUAGAGCUGUGAUAAAUACUUUGUAUUAUUACACCCUUAUUUUCCCAUUCAUCUUCAGAUGUUCUGCUUUUCCAUUUUCCUCUAUUUCUUCUGCAUUCUUCAAUUCCCAGUUCUCUCUCUCUCUCUUUUUUUUUUUUUUUU
ensembl:lncRNA